GACGAACGCUGGCGGCGUGCUUAACACAUGCAAGUCGAACGGACAGGCCAUGAUUUUGUGGCGUGCUCGUGAGGCGAACAGGUGAGUAACACGCGAGUAAACUGCCCUUGACUUUGGGAUAAAAUUAGGAAACUGGGGCUCAUACAGGAUAGGAGAUCCUGAUGCAUGGUGGGGAUUGGUAAGAUUUGGCGGUUGGGGCUGGUCUCGCGGCUUCUCAGCUUGUUGGUGGGGUUGUGGCUUACCAAGGGUUUGACGGGUAGCCGGCCUGGGAGGGUUACCGGCCACAAUGGGACUGAGAUACGGCCCAGACGCCUACGGGAGGCAGCAGGGGGGAAUAUUGCGGAAUGGGCGGAAGCCUGAGGCAGCAACGCCGCGUGCGGGAUAACGGCCUUCGGGUUGUAAACCGCUUUCGCCUGUGACGAAGCGUGAGUGACGGUAAUGGGUAAGGAAGCACCGGCUAACUACGUG
rnacentral:rRNA from 1 species